rnacentral:pre_miRNA from 1 species
AUCACCUGGGGAUCUUAUUAAAAUGCAGAUUCGGAUUCAAUAGAUCUGGGGCAGGGCCUGAGUUUCUGCAUUUCUAACAAGCUCCCAGGUGAUUCCCA